UUUUUCCUACGGGGGGCAGCAGUGAGGAAUAUUGGUCAAUGGACGGAAGUCUGAACCAGCCAUGCCGCGUGCAGGAAGACGGCUCUAUGAGUUGUAAACUGCUUUUGUACAAGGGUAAACCUGAAUACGUGUAUUCAGCUGAAAGUACUGUACGAAUAAGGAUCGGCUAACUCCGUGCCAGCAGCCGCGGUAAUACGGAGGAUGCGAGCGUUAUCCGGAUUUAUUGGGUUUAAAGGGUGCGUAGGCGGAAUGCCAAGUCAGCGGUAAAAUCGCGGGGCUCAACCUCGCUCCGCCGUUGAAACUGG
rnacentral:rRNA from 1 species